rnacentral:rRNA from 1 species
GACGAACGCUGGCGGCGUGCUUAACACAUGCAAGUCGAACGGAAAGGCCCUGCUUUUGUGGGGCGCUCGAUUGGCGAACGGGUGAGUAACACGUGAGUAACCUGCCCUUGACUUUGGGAUAACUUCAGGAAACUGGGGCUAAUACCGGAUAGGAGCUCCUGCUGCAUGGUGGGGGUUGGAAAGUUUCGGCGGUUGGGGAUGGACUCGCGGCUUAUCAGCUUGUUGGUGGGGUAGUGGCUUACCAAGGCUUUGACGGGUAGCCGGCAUGGGAGGGUGACCGGCCACAUUGGGACUGCGGUACGGACCAGACUCCUACGGGAGGCAGCGGGGGAGAAUAUUGCACAAUGGGCGGAAGCCUGAUGCAGCAACGCCGCGUGCGGGAUGACGGCCUUCGGGUUGUAAACCGCUUUCGCCUGUGACGAAGCGUGAGUGACGGUAAUGGGUAAAGAAGCACCGGCUAACUACGUG